GGCCGAAGUGCAUGACGGCAUUCCGUUGAAUUUUGCUUUUCUGGAAAGUUUAAACUUGAAGGCAGGCUGCGGUAAAUUCAGCCCAGAAAUGGUGGAAAAGUUUAAAAAGUUGUUGCGCGCAAGGACGUUAUGCUUGCAGUGGAUUCGGACGAGAUUGAGAUUGAAGGCGUGAAAGACUUUCUGUG